CCCAGCUGAGGCGGUGGGACUAGGACUCAGUUGAGACUCUGAAGAGCACCUGGUCCAUAAAGGAUUCUGCACGCAGCACGGCAGAGCAGCACAGCUCUAGGGUGCAACGCGCUAGUCAACAUGAACCACUAACUGGUGAGAACUCUGCACCUGCACUCCGAAUGACUGGCUGUGAAUGAGAAGUGAUCAAAGAGACAGGGGUUAUGUGAUUAUAUGGACUGGCAAAGUGGAGGGAUGUUGCGGGAGAUGGAAACGCUGGAUGUACUAUGGUCACACGUCACAAAGAUCCUCGGAGGCCAAGACAAAGCAGCAGCCCCAUGAAGCCACCCUGGAUAGCUCAUCAACUUGCAGGAACCGACAGAGACACUUACAGCCUCUUGCCACAAGCUACUGAUAUUCAACAGAAUGCAGCAGCGUAAGGGUAUCAGAUGUCAGGAAAGCAAAUUGAGAGUAAUCAAGAAAUCUAAUAAGAAAGGGUGGAGGAAGUACUAAACCCAUCAUCAGUAUGGAAAAAGUCCAGGAAAUCUUCCGAGACGCCAUAAUUAAAGGCAUAACAGAAUACAUUUACUUUGAAAUAAACAAGGAGGAGAAGCGGCUAAUGUGACUUCAUGAGGGACUUCUCCGAAAUCUAAAGCUUGUAGGGAACAGAUACACACAGCAAAAAAAACAACCAGAAAGUUAAUAUUAGAGAAAAGCAUCCAAAGGAAGAACAUAAAGGGGCUUUUAAGCUAUCUUGGGGUAGAAAGGCGGCCCAUUAAAAGAACCAGCAUGGGGGAUGAAAUGAACAAGAACUCAAAAACUGGCUGAAAAUCUGAAGUUCUUUUUUCAAAAUCUGACUUUAACAAAAGAAAUAAUGAAAGGCAGUUAGGAAGUGAGGAAGACCUUAUAAAAACAGCUAUUGAUAAACAGCACUCGGGAUUACUUGGAAAUUUUAAACCUAUACAACAUGCAUCUGGAGGGAUUUAAGGGAAGUAUCAGAACAAUAACAAACGACCACCACCUAGCUCUAAUAGAAUGCUUUACAUGCCAUACAGAUUUUUAAAAAAUAAUUCAUGGAGAACUAGAGAGGUACCAGAAAACAGAAGGGAAGUAAAAGUGAUGCGUCUCUUCAAAAAGCAUUAAAUGGAUAAUCCUGGUAAUUACUGUCCCAUAAUUCUAACUUCUAACCCUUGUAAAGUAACUGAACAAAGACUGCAUUAGACUGCUAGAGGAUCCCAACCUUAACUAGGAAAGAUCUGGCGCUCCGCAAUCAACAUGAUCAUGAGAAGUAGUAACCAAUAUGGAUUAUGAAGACCUGGC